GCUCUGGACCAGUAGAGUCCUGGUUGGAUGCUCGAUAAGCUGAGAGAGAAGAGGUUUUAUGGUUAAAACAGGGUCAGGUAUUGUAGCUUGGCUCAGUUGGGACUAAGUUUUUGAUCAA